rnacentral:rRNA from 1 species
GUGGGGAAUAUUGGACAAUGGGGGGAACCCUGAUCCAGCCAUGCCGCGUGUGUGAAGAAGGCCUUUUGGUUGUAAAGCACUUUAAGCGAGGAGGAGGCUACCGAGAUUAAUACUCUUGGAUAGUGGACGUUACUCGCAGAAUAAGCACCGGCUAACUCUGUGCCAGCAGCCGCGGUAAUACAGAGGGUGCAAGCGUUAAUCGGAUUUACUGGGCGUAAAGCGCGCGUAGGUGGCCAAUUAAGUCAAAUGUGAAAUCCCCGAGCUUAACUUGGGAAGUGCAGUCGAUACUGGUUGGCUAGAGUAUGGGAGAGGAUGGUAGAAUUCCAGGUGUAGCGGUGAAAUGCGUAGAGAUCUGGAGGAAUACCGAUGGCGAAGGCAGCCAUCUGGCCUAAUACUGACACUGAGGUGCGAAAGCAUGGGGAGCAAACAGGAUUAGAAACCCGAGUAGUCC